rnacentral:tRNA from 1 species
GUCCCCAUCGUCUAGCCUGGCCUAGGACACCGCCCUUUCACGGCGGUAACAGGGGUUCGAAUCCCCUUGGGGACGCCA